rnacentral:rRNA from 1 species
GAUGAACGCUGGCGGCGUGCCUAAUACACGCAAGUCGAGCGAACGGACGAGAAGCUUGCUUCUCUGAUGUUAGCGGCGGACGGGUGAGUAACACGUGGAUAACCUACCUAUAAGACUGGGAUAACUUCGGGAAACCGGAGCUAAUACCGGAUAAUAUUUUGAACCGCAUGGUUCAAAAGUGAAAGACGGUCUUGCUGUCACUUAUAGAUGGAUCCGCGCUGCAUUAGCUAGUUGGUAGGGUAACGGCUUACCAAGGCAACGAUGCAUAGCCGACCUGAGAGGGUGAUCGGCCACACUGGAACUGAGACACGGUCCAGACUCCUACGGGAGGCAGCAGUAGGGAAUCUUCCGCAAUGGGCGAAAGCCUGACGGAGCAACGCCGCGUGAGUGAUGAAGGUCUUCGGAUCGUAAAACUCUGUUAUUAGGGAAGAACAUAUGUGUAAGUAACUGUGCACAUCUUGACGGUACCUAAUCAGAAAGCCACGGCUAACUACGUG